AAAAUGCACUGUGGGUGACUGACUUACCACAAGGCAAUCCGGCAGGAAACACACCUCUUAAACCAAGGAGAUCCAGACAUAAAGGGAGAGGAUGAAAAGGGAGGAUAUAAAUAUUAAAGUAUCAGAGAAAGCAGCAAAGAGUCCUGUGGCACCUUAUAGACUAACAGACGUUUUGGAGCAUGAGCUUUCAUGGGUGAAUAUCCACUUCGUAGGAUGCAUCCGACAAAGUGGAUAUGCUGCUUUUAUAAAUAUUAAACUACACUAAAAGGUAACAGGAAAGACACGAUCUAACAGGACAAAAAGAGAAGCAGGCUCUGCUGCAGAUUUCAUCCUAGACCAAAGGCAGUAGACAAGGAACUGAGGGGCAGUUGGAUCGCACUAUAUAUAAAAGACCCGCUCACAGCACAAGAUGGAGAGGUGCACGUGUGGCCCACCGGGCACUGCUGAUGACGAUCUCCCAACCCAGGAACAUAGGGGCGCUGACGCAUGUACAGUGGAGCAUCCACAGGGACAUCACUCGAAGAAGAAAUGGGCACGUUCAAUCCAGAGAAGAGAAGGCUGGGAGGAACAUGGGAGACUUGCAAAAUCCAGAAAGAACAAGAAUACAACUAUUAAAUGGCAUUUUGAAUUAAAAUUACCCAAAUAAACUUAUCUGUCUCAAAAAACCAGUCACUGAAACCAUGAAGCUGAGCUGGAAAACACA